UGGCGGGCGCCAGCAGUCCCAGCUGCUCCGGAAGCUGAGGCAGGAGAAUGACGUGACCCCGGGAGGCGGAGCUUGCAGCGAACCGAUAUCGCGAUACUGCACUCCAGCCUGGGCGACAGAGCGAGACUCCCUCUCAAAAAAAAAAAAAAAACUGUUAGAAUGCCUAUUAGCUGCAUGAGGGGAAACAGUAACCAGAAAGUAGAGGACUGGACAACAUCUGGACCAAGGGAUCAAAAUUAACAUCAAUAAGUCCUAGAAUCAGGCGUUUCUUUAAGAGGCCCUACUUCCUCUAAUUGGAUAAUUCUAGAAACCGGUAUUUGAAUCUGAGGAGGCCAUAAUCCCAAACAAAUUAAUGCAGUGAUAGAAAACCAAAU
rnacentral:lncRNA from 10 species